GACGAACGCUGGCGGCGUGCCUAACACAUGCAAGUUGAGCGACGAACCAGGGCUUGCCCUGGGGCAAAGCAGCGAACGGGUGAGUAACACGUGGGUAACCUACCCCGAUAACCGGGACAACCCGAGGAAACUCGGGCUAAUACCGGAUGUGCUCACUGGACUUCGGUUCAGUGCGUAAAGGAAGCUUCGGCCUCCGUAUCGGGAGGGGCCCGCGGCCCAUUAGUUUGUUGGUGAGGUAACGGCUCACCAAGACCGCGAUGGGUAGCUGGUCUGAGAGGACGAUCAGCCACACUGGGACUGAGACACGGCCCAGACUCCUACGGGAGGCAGCAGAGGGGAAUCUUGCGCAAUGCGCGAAAGCGUGACGCAGCAACGCCGCGUGGGGGAAGAAGGCCUUCGGGUUGUAAACCCCUUUCAGGAGGGACGAAGGUGCGGCGGUGAAUAGCCGUCCGGACUGACGGCACCUCCACAAGAAGCCCCGGCUAACUACGUG
rnacentral:rRNA from 1 species